rnacentral:rRNA from 1 species
CUUAACACAUGCAAGUCGAACGAUGACGGUGGUGCUUGCACCGCCUGAUUAGUGGCGAACGGGUGAGUAACACGUGAGUAACCUGCCCUCCACUUCGGGAUAACCUCGGGAAAUCGUGGCUAAUACCGGAUAUGAGCACUCAUCGCAUGGUGGGUGUUGGAAAGAUUUAUCGGUGGGGGAUGGACUCGCGGCCUAUCAGUUUGUUGGUGAGGUGAUGGCUCACCAAGACGAUGACGGGUAGCCGGCCUGAGAGGGCGACCGGCCACACUGGGACUGAGACACGGCCCAGACUCCUACGGGAGGCAGCAGUGGGGAAUAUUGCACAAUGGGCGAAAGCCUGAUGCAGCGACGCCGCGUGGGGGAUGACGGCCUUCGGGUUGUAAACCCCUUUCAGUAGGGAAGAAGCGAGAGUGACGGUACCUGCAGAAGAAGCGCCGGCUAACUACGUGCCAGCAGCCGCGGUAAUACGUAGGGCGCAAGCGUUGUCCGGAAUUAUUGGGCGUAAAGAGCUUGUAGGUGGCUUGUCGCGUCUGCCGUGAAAACCCGAGGCUCAACCUCGGGCGUGCGGUGGGUACGGGCAGGCUAGAGUGUGGUAGGGGAGACUGGAACUCCUGGUGUAGCGGUGAAAUGCGCAGAUAUCAGGAAGAACACCGAUGGCGAAGGCAGGUCUCUGGGCCAUUACUGACACUGAGAAGCGAAAGCAUGGGUAGCGAACAGGAUUAGAUACCCUGGUAGUCCAUGCCGUAAACGUUGGGCACUAGGUGUGGGGGACAUUCCACGUUUUCCGCGCCGUAGCUAAC